GAUGAACGCUGGCGGCGUGCCUAAUACAUGCAAGUCGAGCGAACGGACGAGAAGCUUGCUUCUCUGAUGUUAGCGGCGCACGGGUGAGUAACACGUGGAUAACCUACCUAUAAGACUGGGAUAACUUCGGGAAACCGUAGCUAAUACCGGAUAAUAUUUUGAACCGCAUGGUUCAAAAGUGAAAGACGGUCUUGCUGUCACUUAUCGAUGGAUCCGCGCUGCAUUAGCUAGUUGGUAAGGUAACGGCCUACCAAGGCAACGAGGCAUAACCGACCUGAUAGACGGAUCGGCCACCUUGGAGCGGGACCGGGCACCAGGCUCCUGCGGGACGGAGCAGUAGGCAACCGGCCGCAGUGGGCGAGAGCCUGACAGAGCAACCCGGAGUGAGAGAUGACGGCCUCCGGAUCGUAAAACUCUGUUAUUAGGGAAAAACCUAUUUGUAAGUAGAUGUGCACAGCUUGACGGUAACUAAUCAGAAAGCCACGGCUAACUACGUG
rnacentral:rRNA from 1 species